rnacentral:lncRNA from 1 species
UACAGUUCUUAUACUUAAUUAUCUAUAUUAUAAUAUUUAAUUAUAUUCAUUUAAAUGGUGUUAGCUCCAUUACUUUUCCAUCAUCUCCUUCCUCUCACUUUCCUCGUCAUCCACGCCUCACAGUUCACCUUCUCCAUUUCACUUGCUCUCCUAUCUUCACCAACCUCAGAUUCUCCUCUCUCUCCUCUCCAAUUCACCAUCGGCCUCCUCCACCAUCUCUCAGAUCCAGAGUUAUGCCGCGGUGUUCGUGUAACGCCGACUUAAACACUGCCGCGUUCGUGUCAAGCCGCCGAGUUCAUGUCUCUUUCGUGUUCUUUCUCGUGUCACGCCGACAGAUCAGUAUCUAGAAUGGCGGAGAUCGAUUAAUGAGAAGAACCCUAAAAAUGAGACAAAGCGCUUAGAGUGCGGUAGGACUGCCACAGACCGGGCCAUGUUCAAUGCCAAAACAAAGUCCAUAUAAAAUGAAACCCAUAAACAUUGCGACAACUUUAAUGAAAUGCAACGUUUAAUAGAAGAUGGGCACGUGUCAGCCUGUCAGAGAGUAAGUUUCCACGUUGAUAGCUUAAGAGUGAGA